UACGUAGGGGGCUAGCGUUGUCCGGAAUCAUUGGGCGUAAAGCGCGUGUAGGCGGUCCGGUAAGUCCGCUGUGAAAGUCGGGGGCUCAACCUUCGAAUGCCGGUGGAUACUGUCGGGCUAGAGUGCGGAAGAGGCGAGUGGAAUUCCUGGUGUAGCGGUGAAAUGCGCAGAUAUCAGGAGGAACACCUAUUGCGAAGGCAGCUCGCUGGGACGUAACUGACGCUGAGACGCGAAAGCGUGGGGAGCAAACAGG
rnacentral:rRNA from 1 species